AUGCUCUCAUGUCCCAGCUGUCAGCUACAGAGCACUACCGCUGUGCACAAUGUUAGAGGUCAAGUGAGGUAUAUUAACCUAAUCCCCAGGUUUUCCCUCUCUGAUUCUGGCUGUUGUUGUCCAAGAAUGUAAAUUUCCCAGACUCUGCUCUCUUGUCUGCAAAAGUAGAUUCUAUAGAUGGACAGUUGUGGAAGCCCACUACCCAAGGAAGCAACAUGAAGAUCUGAGGACCCUUGAGUCGCCCCAGGUUUUGGGGAAUUUAGAGGACUACAGAAGGGAAUUAACCCCCAUGCCACGUCUCCUCUCUGAAGAUGCUUCUGUGGGUACAAGCAGCACACUGAAUAUCAUCCAUUUUCUGCAAAAUUGCCAAAGAAUGGUAGAACCUUAAGACCUCACAGUGAAAACUGAUGUUCCUGAAAGUCUUCAGAAACAGAAAAACUCCAUCUUUAGUAAGAACAAUUU
rnacentral:lncRNA from 1 species